CAAUAGCGUAUAUUAAAGUUGUUGCAGUUAAAAAGCUCGUAGUUGGACCCUGGACCUGGACAGGCGGUCCGCCUCACGGCGAGUACUGUCUUGCUGGGUCUUUCCUCUUGGUGAUCUGUCGUUUCGGCAGCAGGGAACCAGGACCUUUACUUUGAAAAAAUUAGAGUGUUCAAAGCAGGCUCGACGCCGGAAUAUAUUAGCAUGGAAUAAUAAAAUAGGACGUGCGGUUCUAUUUUGUUGGUUUUUGGAAUCGCCGUAAUGAUUAAUAGGGACAGUCGGGGGCAUUAGUACUCACAUGCUAGAGGUGAAAUUCUUGGAUUUUGUGAAGACUAACUUCUGCGAAAGCAUUUGCCAAGGAUGUUUUCAUUA
rnacentral:rRNA from 1 species